rnacentral:rRNA from 1 species
GAAAUAACGUCCCAGUUCGGAUUGUAGUCUGCAACCCGACUACAUGAAGCUGGAAUCGCUAGUAAUCGCGGAUCAGAAUGCCGCGGUGAAUACGUUCCCGGGUCUUGUACACACCGCCCGUCAUACCAUGGGAGUCGGAAAUGCCCGAAGUCUGUGACCGAACCGAAAGGGAGGAGCAGCCGAAGGCAGGUCGGAUGACUGGGGUGAAGUCGUAACAAGGUACC